UACGUAGGGGGCAAGCGUUGUCCGGAAUCAUUGGGCGUAAAGAGCGUGUAGGCGGCCAGGUAGGUCGGUUGUGAAAACUGGAGGCUCAACCUUCAGAGGUCGACCGAAACCAUCUGGCUAGAGUCCGGGAGAGGAGAGUGGAAUUCCUGGUGUAGCGGUGAAAUGCGCAGAUAUCAGGAAGAACACCCGUGGCGAAAGCGGCUCUCUGGAACGGUACUGACGCUGAGACGCGAAAGCGUGGGGAGCGAACAGG
rnacentral:rRNA from 1 species